rnacentral:rRNA from 1 species
UACGUAGGGACCAAGCGUUGUUCGGAUUUACUGGGCGUAAAGGGCGCGUAGGCGGCAAUUCAAGUCAUCUGUGAAAUCUCCGGGCUUAACCCGGAACGGUCAGAUGAUACUGCUUGCUAGAGUGCGGAAGGGGCAAUCGGAAUUCUUGGUGUAGCGGUGAAAUGCGUAGAUAUCAAGAGGAACACCUGAGGUGAAGACGGGUUGCUGGGCCGACACUGACGCUGAUAGCGCGAAAGCCAGGGGAGCAAACGGG